AUGUGUCCGUUUUGCUCCUAAUCUCUC
rnacentral:piRNA from 1 species